rnacentral:rRNA from 1 species
UACGGGGGGAGCAAGCGUUGUUCGGAUUUACUGGGCGUAAAGGGCGCGUAGGCGGCACCGCAAGUCGACUGUGAAAUCUCCGGGCUUAACCCGGAAAGGUCAGCCGAUACUGCGGGGCUAGAGUGCAGAAGGGGCAACUGGAAUUCUCGGUGUAGCGGUGAAAUGCGUAGAGAUCGGGAGGAACACCAGAGGCGAAGGCGGCCGGCUGGACCUGACCUGACGCUGAGGCACGAAGGCGUGGGGAGCGAACGGG